rnacentral:rRNA from 1 species
UACGGAGGGUGCAAGCGUUAUCCGGAUUUACUGGGUUUAAAGGGUGCGUAGGCGGUCCCUUAAGUCAGUGGUGAAAGCUCCGAGCUUAACUCGGAAACUGCCAUUGAUACUAUAGGUCUUGAAUUCGGUCGAGGUUGGCGGAAUGUGUCGUGUAGCGGUGAAAUGCUUAGAUAUGACACAGAACACCGAUUGCGAAGGCAGCUAGCUAGACCGACAUUGACGCUGAGGCACGAAAGCGUGGGGAUCAAACAGG